CCUACGGGAGGCUGCAGUGGGGAAUAUUGGGCAAUGGGCGAAAGCCUGACCCAGCAACGCCGCGUGAAGGAAGAAGGCUCUCGGGUUGUAAAGUUCUAUCGGCAGGGAAGAGCAGAUGACGGUACCUGACGAAGAAGCCCCGGCUAACUACGUGCCAGCAGCCGCGGUAAUACGUAGGUGGCAAGCGUUGUCCGGAAUUACUGGGUGUAAAGGGAGUGUAGCCGGGCUGACAAGUCAGGUGUGAAAUCCGGGGGCACAACCCCCGAACUGCAUGUGAAACUGUUGGUGUUGAGUAGAGGAGAGGCAGGCGGAAGUACUAGUGUAGCGGGGAAAUGCGUAGAUAUUAGGAGGAACACCAGUGGCGGAGGCGGCCUGCUGGACGGCAACUGACGGUGAGGCGCGAAAGCGUGGGGAGCAAACAGGAUUAGAUACCCUUGUAGUC
rnacentral:rRNA from 1 species